GUUGCCGUGACAAACGCUAACCGCGUCCUUGGUAAGGCUGAGGUCGUGAGUUCAAUCCUCACCGGCAGCACCA
rnacentral:tRNA from 1 species